GCCCCAGUAGCUUAACUUUUAAAGCACCGGCCUUGUAAACCGGAGAAUGGAGAUUAAAGUUCCCCCUGGCGCA
rnacentral:tRNA from 1 species